rnacentral:rRNA from 1 species
GUAGGUGGCAAGCGUUGUCCGGAAUUAUUGGGCGUAAAGCGCGCGCAGGUGGUUCUUUAAGUCUGAUGUGAAAGCCCCCGGGCUCAACCGGGGAGGGUCAUUGGAAACUGGGGAACUUGAGUGCAGGAGAGGAAAGUGGAAUUCCACGUGCAGCGGUGAAAUGCGUAGAUAUGUGGAGGAACACCAGUGGCGAAGGCGACUUUCUGGCCUGUAACUGACACUGAGGCGCGAAAGCGUGGGGAGCAAACAGGAUUAGAUACCCUGGUAGUCCACGCCGUAAACGAUGAGUGCUAAGUGUUGGGGGGUUUCCGCCCCUCAGUGCUGCAGCUAACGCAUUAAGCACUCCGCCUGGGGAGUACGGUCGCAAGACUG